rnacentral:rRNA from 1 species
GGUCCGUACCUGACGCUAAGACGCGAAAGCGUGGGGAGCGAACGGGAUUAGAUACCCCGGUAGUCCACGCUGUAAACGAUGGAUGCUAGGUGUGGGUGGUAUUGACCCCAUCCGUGCCGUAGCUAACGCGUUAAGCAUCCCGCCUGGGGACUACGGCCGCAAGGUAAAAACUCAAAGGAAUUGACGGGGGCCCGCACAAGCAGCGGAGCGUGUGGUUUAAUUCGAUGUUACGCGAAGAACCUUACCUGGGCUUGACAUGCACGUAGUAGUGAAGCGAAAGCGGAACGACCCUUCGGGGAGCGUGCACAGGUGCUGCAUGGCUGUCGUCAGCUCGUGUCGUGAGAUGUUGGGUUAAGUCCCGCAACGAGCGCAACCCUCGCUGUUAGUUACAUGUGUCUAACGGGACUGCCGGUAUUAAACCGGAGGAAGGUGGGGAUGACGUCAAGUCAGCAUGGCCUUUAUGUCCAGGGCUACACACACGCUACAAUGGUCGGUACAAUGGGUCGCCACACCGAGAGGUGGAGCUAAUCCUUAAAGCCGGCCUCAGUUCAGAUUGCAGUCUGCAACCCGACUGCAUGAAGGCGGAGUUGCUAGUAACCGCGCGUCAGCCAUAGUGCGGUGAAUACGUUCCCGGGCCUUGUACACACCGCCCGUCACGUCAUGGGAGCUGGUAACACCUGAAGUCGGUGGGCCAACCGCAAGGAGGUAGCUGCCUAAGGUGGGACUGG